UGGUGGAGUGAUUUGUCUGUUUAAUUCCGUUAACGAACGAGACCUUAACCUGCUAAAUAGCUACGCGUAGCUUCGGUUACGUGGGCAACUUCUUAGAGGGACGUUGCGUGUCUAACGCAAGGAAGUUUGAGGCAAUAGCA
rnacentral:rRNA from 1 species